AGAGUUUGAUCCUGGCUCAGGACGAACGCUGGCGGCGCGCUUAACACAUGCAAGUCGAGCGAGAACCGGCCUUCGGGCCGGGGAAAGCGGCGAACGGGUGAGUAACACGUGGGUAAUCUGCCCUCGGUACUGGGAUAGCCCGGGGAAACCCGGACUAAUACCGGAUGGCCCUUUGAGUCCUCGGAUUCACAGGGAAAGGUAGCUUCGGCCUCCGACCGAGGAUGAGCCCGCGGCGGAUUAGCUUGUUGGUGGGGUAACGGCCUACCAAGGCGACGAUCCGUAGCUGGUCUGAGAGGACGAUCAGCCACACUGGGACUGAGACACGGCCCAGACUCCUACGGGAGGCAGCAGUGGGGAAUCUUGCGCAAUGGGCGAAAGCCUGACGCAGCGACGCCGCGUGAGGGAAGAAGGCCUUCGGGUUGUAAACCUCUUUCAGGAGGGACGAAGCCACUCGGGUUAAUAGCCCAGAGGGUGACGGUACCUCCAGAAGAAGCCCCGGCUAACUACGUGCCAGCAGCCGCGGUAAUACGUAGGGGGCAAGCGUUGUCCGGAUUUAUUGGGCGUAAAGAGCGUGUAGGCGGCCAGGUAGGUCCGUUGUGAAAACUGGAGGCUUAACCUCCAGCUGUCGAUGGAAACCAUCUGGCUAGAGUCCGGAAGAGGAGAGUGGGAUUCCUGGUGUAGCGGUGAAAUGCGCAGAUAUCAGGAAGAACACCCGUGGCGAAGGCGGCUCUCUGGGACGGUACUGACGCUGAGACGCGAAAGCGUGGGGAGCGAACAGGAUUAGAUACCCUGGUAGUCCACGCCGUAAACGAUGGGCGCUAGGUGUGGGCGGUGUCGACUCCGUCCGUGCCGAAGCUAACGCAUUAAGCGCCCCGCCUGGGGAGUACGGCCGCAAGGCUAAAACUCAAAGGAAUUGACGGGGCCCCGCACAAGCAGCGGAGCAUGUUGUUUAAUUCGACGCGACGCGAAGAACCUUACCAGGGCUUGACAU
rnacentral:rRNA from 1 species